rnacentral:rRNA from 1 species
UUGGCUCAGGGACGGACGCUGGCGGCGUGCCUAAUACAUGCAAGUAGAACGCUGAAGACUGGUGCUUGCACUAGUCAGAUGAGUUGCGAACGGGUGAGUAACGCGUAGGUAACCUACCUCAUAGCGGGGGAUAACUAUUGGAAACGAUAGCUAAUACCGCAUGACAAUUAAGUACUCAUGUACUAAAUUUAAAAGGAGCAAUUGCUUCACUAUGAGAUGGACCUGCGUUGUAUUAGCUAGUUGGUGAGGUAACGGCUCACCAAGGCCACGAUACAUAGCCGACCUGAGAGGGUGAUCGGCCACACCUGGACUGAGACCGCCCA